rnacentral:rRNA from 1 species
AAGGUUUAAAAAAACUAAUGCAUUCGGGCAAUGAGUUAAGUGCGACGUGACAUGAGGAGGGCCUUCGGGAAAACCUUAAGGAAGAAGCUGUCGGUUAAGAAGAGAGAAAAGUGGUGCCACCCGCCGCGGUAAAACCAGCUCCUCAAGUGAUUCGGACUUUUACUGUUCCUCAAGCGUCCGUAGCCGGGCCUGAUGGCUUCGGUUAAAUCCGGCAGCUUAACUGUGGGCCCGGGGGAAAAACUCCAGGGUCUGGGAGGGGGAAGAGGUAGAGGGUACUCCUUGGGAAGGGGGGAAAGCGGUUAAUUCAGGGGGGACCCCCCGUGGCGAAGGGGCUCUACUGGGACGCGCUCGAAAGAAAGGGAACGAAAGCCCGGGGAACCUUUCUGGAUUAGAUACCCGGGAAGGCGGGGGCCGUAAACGUUGGGGGCUAGGGGUGGGUCCAGCCACGAGCUGGACCCGUGCCGAAGGGGAAGCCGAAAAAAUUCCCCCGCCUGGGGAGCACGUUCGCAAGGUUAAAAUUAAAUUACAAAUUGAUUUUUGUCUGGACCCAAAACCUUGAGGGAAUUGGGGGGGGAUCACCUCAAAGGGGUGAUUCCUGCCGUUUUAAUUGGGCUCAAAAGCGGGGAAAGCUUACAAGGGGCCAACAAAAAAAAAAAAAGGCCAGGCUGCUGCUUUUACCCGAUUUGCCGAGGGGGGGUGGUUGGGCCUUCGUAAGUUCGUGCCCAGAGGGCCCCCCGCUAAGCCUGGCAAACAAAAAAAUCUCUGGCCCCAUUUUUUUGGAGAAAAGAUUCCUUUCGGGGUUUUUUUGGAUUUUUUUUGGGUCCCUUCUUCUCCCCCCCCCGGUUACUAUUUGGGGCACCUUCCCCCAAAGGCCCCCCGAAAAGUUGAAAAAAAGUUUUUGGGUAUUGUUGGUUCUUUUUUUAAUCCACCAAAUUUGUUUACCCUCCCUUUUCCUCCGGGGGCCCGGAAACCCCGUGGGGGCUUUUUUUUGGCUGCCAAUGGGGGUGGGGCCAAUAUGGUUUUUUUUCCCCCCAAAAAGGUGUGAGCCUUUUUCCCGAAAACCCCCCCCCCCCAUUUUUUUGAAACCGGGAGGGUUGCCAAACCCCCCCCCUCUGGGGGAAAUAAAAGGAAAUCCCCCUAUUUAAUUUGGCCGGGGGGUCCUUUUGUUCCCCCCCCCGCGGGGGGAAAUAAAGGGCGCCACCAGACCCCACACAAAAAAAACACAACCACCCCCCCGAGAGGGGGGGUGGGGAAAAGGGUGUUUUUUUUUUAUAUUAGCCCCCCC